rnacentral:lncRNA from 1 species
AAAGGGAGUGGCUGUCUCAAUAAAAUUUACAUUUAAUGUGUAUUGUACAUUUCAUAAAAUUUUCAUCUCAUAAAGUAUUUUUCCUUUGAUUUUAUAAAUCAAUUUUAAAAUGGUAAAGAUAUUCUUAGCUUGUCAGCAGUAAAAAAAUAGGAGGCAGGCUGGAUUUGAUCCACAGUUUGCUCUUGCUUACUCUAGUAUAUUAGAAGUAUGGUUGGACCUCCAUAUCCACAGAUUCAACUAAAUGUGGAUCAGAAAUAUUCAAAGAAAAAAUCGCAUCUGUGCUGAACAGGCUCAGAUGUUUUUCUUGUUACUAUGACCUAACAGUACAGUAGAACAACCACGGACUCAUUGCUAACACUGCACUGGGCAUUACAGAUAUUCUAGAGAUGAUUUAAAGCAUACAGGGGUUUGCGUAGUGCACACAAGCACUAUGCAUUCCACAUAAGGGACUCGUGCCCACACACUGGUGUCGCUGCUCAGGUCCUGGGACUGACUCCCUGGGGCCCCUGGCAGGUGACCCUGCAGAGCCAUCUGGGAGCAGCGUGUGUGCCCAGGGCUGAGCUGGCACCUCUCAACACGCUUCAGCCUCACAGCAGCCUUACUGGAGGCUUUGCUGCCUCACUAAGUGACAAGGAGCUAGGAGUGCCCUGGCAGGAAGUGGGGCCACCGGAGCUGGAGUGGGAGCGGGCUGUCUGGGCUCUGCUCUCAGCCCUGGGAAGGAGCCUGUGUCUGUUACAUGGCACGGGGUGGGACGGAGCCCAGGCUUCACCACGGGCGCUGGGACUGGACACCUGCAUCCCCGCUGUCCACCACUCUCCUGCCUGCUGCUCCCUGGCCACUCAGCGUUCAUGACCCCAGGACUGAUGGCUCCCUGCUGACCUGUUGAAUCUGUCUCCCCUUGGACCGUUAUCCCACACCGCUGGAUGGGAGCGCAUCUGCCGGACCCACCUCUGAAGGUCAGCACCAAGCCCAGAACCGGGGCCAGAGCAAGUGCUCAGCAAACAUCUGGCAGAUGAACAAGCGGGCGCUCGCCUCUCCCAGCCACCGGGCAGCCCCAGAAGCAGGUGUCAUUGUGCUCCCGCCACCAGACUGAGAAACCAGACUCAGAGACGAAAGGCAGCACUUCCAAAAGGGCAGGAACAAGUUUGAGACCCUGUUUUAUCUUUAUUUGUCUUUAUUAGAGUGCCAUGAGCGUUCCCUCAUGGCCACGCAUUCUGUCUCUCGUGUAUGUUUGUGUGCGGGUUUACUUUGGCAUAGAUGCUCCGAUUCAGGUGACAAAUGAUGGGAGGCAGCAGAGAGCCCCACCCCACUUUUGUUUCCUAGCCACCU